GUAAAUUAGAAAUUUCACCGAUACUUAAAGAGAGAAUGGACAAUAAAAAUCCCUACUUUUUAAUGCAUUUAAAUGGCCUGAUAAGUUUUCAUCCAAAGUAGAAAAUCGUUUCAUUAUUCAAUGAGCAGAGCUGAGAUCAUAUAGAUACAUACAUAGGCGACACCUCACACGACCAGAAAAAUCAUAUGUGACUCUGAGAGUAGCCAGUGUCCGAUUUGAAAUUCAAAUUUCCGCCCAGGAUUGUAAUAAGUGUGGAAUGUAACGGGUCCCAUUCUCGCAAACAUAGAAAAAGAUUCUUCUUCUUCUUUUUCUUCCUUUUCUUUUUGCUAUGUGAUGUGUGCCCGAAUCAGUGUGAUAUAAAUAAAUAAUCAAGGACUAUUGGGAAAUCUCUAUACAGAUACCUUUUAGAUACCCACUAAAAACCCGUCAACCCUUCUUGGGA